CCCUCUGAGCCUGGAGGAAUCACAAAGGAAGCAAUAAAGACUGCUACCAUUAGCUACUGUUCGCUGAGUGGUUUGCUCUCCUAAGAUGCCAUUCAUUCCUGCUGCCAUUUUGGUUCUUGUAAAUUCGUGACGUGUCUCCUCACCCCUGGGUCACUACAGUAACUGGACCUUGGCUCCAUUCAGGCAGGGAGCAAAGAAAGCAAGAAAAACUGCUGCUUUUGAAGCUAUAAUCGGUAUAAAGGAAACCAAGUGCACAGCUGAAGGGGGUCAUAUCCAGGGAAGAAAGGGGGAACAGACAGUGCAAGACAACCCGCAGUCUCAGCCAAGCUGUGUGUGGCUCUAUGACCUUGGGCAACUCACUGUGUUUCUCUGGGCCUCAGUUUCUCUAUAUCCAAAGUAAGAGAAUUGGGUCAGACGACUAUUCUUCAAAGUCCUUAUCAGUUCUAAAAGUCUAUAAUUCUUUGGCUUAUUGUUUUAUAAACUUAGGUAAAUCUGAUGUUAUUCAAAUAAAAGGAGGCCUCUCUGCCAAGUACAUGGCAUAAUCAAUUGUUGGGAUUGAAACCUUCCGGUGAUGAGGAGGGGUUUGGAAACUUUGCCUUCUGGACUGUUGUCAAAAUAGGCUAAGCGGAC